ACCAGAGGUGAAUUGCUGCUCUGUGCUUCUUUGCUGCCUGCCUGGCAGGUUGAGGAAAGUUUUAGAAGACAGGAAUUGUCUCCUUGUUCUUGUUUCUGCCACCAAGAGGACAAUUUCCUCUGAGUGAGCUCUGGUAUGGAAUGCAAUCUCGCUUCCCAUGCAUCUGCACCAUGCCCAUGGAUUAGCAACAAACAGUGCAAUAAAGAAAGCCACAUCAAGAGCGCAGUUUGCUGCAGGUUAUUGCAAGAACAUCAGUGAAAUGUGGAACUAUCCUGCAUGCCCUUCUUUAAUAAACAAUAUUGUAUUAGAUAGUGCUAAUUAUCUAAUUUGCUAAAUUUAUAUAUGCAGACUUCAAAGGGAGUGUUAGUAGAAAGUGUUUGUAUAGGCCCAUUUUGGGGUUAGUUAUGACUGGACAGAGAAAUAUGCUGGAGGUGAAAAAUGUUGAGAGUCUCAGCUCUGAUAAGUAAAGGUUAAUAACUAUACUGAGAGUAAAGAAGAUCUAUCCAUCUGCCACACUGAGGAGAGUUGUCCUUGGACUGCAGCCAGAUACUGACCCUGCUGCUUGCUUUUCUCUCGAUGGGGCAGAGGGUGAAAAUAGGAUAAAACAGCCUGCAGGUUGAGAUAAAUCACAUAGAUACAUGUACUGUUAUAAAUCAUAUAUAAACAUAUACUGUUACAGGUGAAACAGACGUGAUCCAGGGAAAAAUAAUUUAACUUCUAGUUAAAAUAGAUGUAGAUGCUAAGAAACUAAGACAAAAACUAAAGCAUCACCUUCCUCUGCCCACCUUUUCCCAGGCUUAACCUCAUUUCUUCACGGCCGACACACCUCUGCCUUCUCCCGCCCACCUUCCAGCCCCGGAGCAGCGCAUGGAGGGUUAAGCCUCGUACAUACCUGUAUUUUUCUGCCGCCUGUUCCUCCUCACACGUUUCCUCUUCUCCAGGGCGCGCUCCAUCUCCGCGGCCGUUCCUGUCAGGCGGACCUGCCCGAGGGCGGGCUCCGCCUCCGCGGCCGUUCCUGUCAGGCGGACCUGCUCGAGGGCGGGCUCCGUCUCCGCGGCUGCUUUUUCUUAAGGAAGUAUUAAACUGUUCCCGUCCACUGUACAGAAGGUAUCUAAGUGGUAGCCUUUUUCAAAGUCUGCUCCCAGUACCAUGGACGUUUUCCGUUGUACUUUCUAUGCAAUAUCUGACCGAGAAAAUGCUCUGCAGACUACCACAGAAGCAGAGGAGGGGGAGACACCUCUGUAAGCGGCUUCGCGUGCGGGAGAACAGAUUGACUUCAUCAUAGAUCAGAGAUGAGUAAUGGAUAUUGUGGAAGACGGAAGAGAAGGCACUGCUUGAACACCUGGAUGAAGUUGGAGGGAAGCUCACACUUAGUGGCCGCUCUGAAAGAUUAAGAAAAUUCAGAAGGGAAGAAAGAAAUGGAUGAAUUGGUAUAUGUCAUACAAGGGCAGGUACGGUGCCACCUAGGAAACUGUUGGACAGGAAGAGGCAGUCCAGCAACACUCAUCACCCUUGGUGAUCUGGCAAAGCCCAGGUGUGUGAAUUCAAAGGUCAGAAUACAUACAACAGCUAAUCGCUUAUGUUUGUCUCUGUAAGUGUGUCUAGAUAUCUGAAAAGCUUCCUAUGUGGGGUAAAGUCUCUUAUGUGGGCAUGGAUUAAUGCUAAUUAGACCCUGUGUACAUUAUUGUACUUAAGCAUUUCAGUUAGUCAAGGUUAAACUUGUGCUGCAUGUUACAAAAAGUGAAAUCAUUCACUUGAAGUGGGAUGGAAUAGUGAAUACAGGAUAAUAACCAGAUGCCUCCUUUGCAAAGGCAGAUAAAAUGAAAUGUAAAAUAUGGGCAGCUCUGAUGAGGUGAAUAUACAAGGUUGGUUCUGAAAGUAAUGCCUCCUAUGUUACAGUGUUGGCCCAUGAUGUCAGAGCCACAUGUCACUGGUAUGGCAGCAGAGGUUGAACCUUCCCACCAACAUUCCAUUACAUUUUUCUGCCAUGUGACAGAUGGCAGCAGAGGGGCAAAACAGCAUCUGACACAAAAGCAUGUAUGGAGCAAAGGUGUGGAACUCAUUUAUUCCAUGCUGGAAAAGUGGCAUCCAUUGACAUUCAUCAACACUUUCUGAGCAUUUAUGGUGACCAAACAGCCGAUGUUGCACAGUGAGUGACUAUGUUAAAAGAUAGUGUUUUGUAGCUAAGUUGCUCUACAGAUUAGCGUUAUUGUGCUCUUUGUAUUUGUUGUAGUUUCAAGGGAAAUAAAUAGGAGGCAUUACUUUCACAGUGAACUACACUGUAAUAGCCACCUGCAGUAGAUACUGGUAGGUAAAGUCUCCUUGGAUAUUCAUCACUGCUGUGAUGGAAUAGCAUUGGGGGUUGUUGCAGAGUGAUGUCUUUGCUGCCUGAUGACAAAUUCCUGAGUCUGUGGUAUUUUUUAUGUCCUACAGGGACUAGUGUGUAAUCUCCCCUUCACUUCCUUUACUUCUUUCUCCUCUCUACUCAAAAGCCUGACUCACACCAGGAGGCUUAAAGCCAGAACAGUAGAGUGCUGUAUAUCAAACCAAGGACCUGUCAGACAUACAUCAGUCUUAGUCCUGAAGAACUUACAUCCUAAACAAAAGGAAGAGAAGGCAAACAAAAAUGGAAUGGAGAGGAAGAGAAGAGUAAGAUGGUUAUAGGGACAACUUGCUGAAUGUUCUUUCCUGCAUCUAGCAGUUUGCUACUUACUUGGCUCUGCGCCUUUCUAUCUUUUUGCAGUAAAGAUUUUUGCUAAAAGAAAAGUAUUAACAAUUUCCAGUCACGCAUAAACAGCCCUGAAAACAUGCUGUCCAUUCUCUAGGUAAGGGAGUUCAAAGACUGCAGGAGAUAAUAGAUUUUGAAGGAUGGUUGAUGUAUACAGACCCCAUAAUGCUCUAGGGAAGGAUAGUAGAUAGAGCUUUUCAACUGACCAGAUACAUAGUUCUCAAAUCUUUGCUCAAUUUUUAUUUGUUUUACCCAGGCAAAGCUUCCUUUGAUUUAAGUUGCUUGAGAAAGGAUGUGUCCACAAACAUGUCUAUCUUUAAUCAGUGAGACAUGUUGAUCAUGCAGUUGAAAGCACAUGGUGCCCAUAUUUGCAAUGCAUAGAGCUCAUGAGCUCUACAGACAACAAAGAGAAAAGUAGCUAAAAAUGCCCUUGCAUGGAUCUACCUACUGCACUCAGCCUUGUUUUCAUCUGGUGUUUCAAUCCCUCUGAGAUACUGUUACACGAAUCACCAGGGAAAAUAAUAUCACAGAGAAUCAAAUAGUGGGCUGGGAGCUGAAGGACUGCAGAUAACUGGGUCAGGCAUCACAUGAAGUGAGACUGAUAUGCAAGUCAGGAGCAAUGUCACUAAGAGUCAAAUGUUGUGCAGGUGUAAAACUGAUGUCAAUGAAAGAAAAUUGGGCACUGAGUACAAAAGGCUGAGUCUUGGCACAAACAACAUCAACAGGAGUUCUAGCUUCAGUGAAACCAGAACUGAAUUUCACUCCUGGAGGGCAGCAAACACUCUCACUAAAUUCUGUCUGAAAAACAAAACAAAAAACAGCUGAAGAAAUUAUGACUGGUUUCCUGCAUUUGAUGGGACCAUGUAUCUGAUACCCCCAACGCAUGCAUGUCUCCCCCAGCAGUGAAUCAUCAAGAGAAAAAGUUACAGCAACAAUGACUACUGCUACCUCAGAGCAUUGUUCUGAACCAUAACAUUUAACGACAUGCCACAUUUUUUUUAUCAGGGCCGUAUUCUGGGUGCAGUGUGGCAUGUGAGAGGUGCAUAUAAGAAUGAAGCCAAACACCUAUUUCCUCUCAGUAUUUAUUUGCAUUUGCUUUGGUCAUAACUCCAGGCCCCUUCUAAAGCCCCCACCCCACCUCUGCAGCCCACUUAUCACGGGGUCCUUUUUGGCUACAAAACCCAACCAGCAUUCAUUAGUGCAGUC